GGUGGCCUUAAGCAGUAGAAGUCCUAUAGGACCUAGUGGUGCAGACUUCUUGAUCACUUGAGCUGGGUGCUCUAGGAAUAGCGUCUGGAGGGAAAGAG